CCUACGGGUGGCUGCAGUGGGGAAUAUUGGACAAUGGGCGAAAGCCUGAUCCAGCCAUGCCGCGUGUGUGAAGAAGGCCUUCGGGUUGUAAAGCACUUUCAGUGGGGAAGAAAGCCUUGGGGCUAAUACCCUCGAGGAAGGACAUCACCCACAGAAGAAGCACCGGCUAACUCCGUGCCAGCAGCCGCGGUAAUACGGAGGGUGCGAGCGUUAAUCGGAAUUACUGGGCGUAAAGCGCGCGUAGGCGGUCUGAUAAGCCGGUUGUGAAAGCCCCGGGCUCAACCUGGGAACGGCAUCCGGAACUGUCAGGCUAGAGUGCAGGAGAGGAAGGUAGAAUUCCCGGUGUAGCGGUGAAAUGCGUAGAGAUCGGGAGGAAUACCAGUGGCGAAGGCGGCCUUCUGGACUGACACUGACGCUGAGGUGCGAAAGCGUGGGUAACAAACAGGAUUAGAUACCCAGUGUC
rnacentral:rRNA from 1 species